UACGGAGGGUGCGAGCGUUGUCCGGAAUCACUGGGCGUAAAGGGCGCGUAGGCGGCUCAUGAAGGCUGUGGUGAAAGUCCGGGGCUCAACCUCGGAUCGGCCGUGGCGACUCGUGGGCUGGAGCACUGUAGAGGCGAGUGGAAUUCCGGGUGUAGCGGUGGAAUGCGUAGAGAUCCGGAAGAACACCAGUGGCGAAGGCGAGUCCCUGGACAACUCCUGACACUGAGGCACGAAAGCUAGGGGAGCAAACAGGAGU
rnacentral:rRNA from 1 species